GACGAACGCUGGCGGCGUGCCUAAUACAUGCAAGUAGAACGCUGAAGGAGGAGCUUGCUCUUCUGGAUGAGUUGCGAACGGGUGAGUAACGCGUAGGUAACCUGCCUGGUAGCGGGGGAUAACUAUUGGAAACGAUAGCUAAUACCGCAUAAUAUUGACUAUUGCAUGAUAGUCAAUUGAAAGGUGCAAAUGCACCACUACCAGAUGGACCUGCGUUGUAUUAGCUAGUUGGUGGGGUAACGGCUCACCAAGGCGACGAUACAUAGCCGACCUGAGAGGGUGAUCGGCCACACUGGGACUGAGACACGGCCCAGACUCCUACGGGAGGCAGCAGUAGGGAAUCUUCGGCAAUGGACGGGAAGUCUGACCGAGCAAACGCCGCGUGAGUGAAGAAAGGUUUUUCGGA
rnacentral:rRNA from 1 species